GGGGAUGUAGCUCAGUUGUUAGAGUGCCUGCUUUGUAUGAAGAAGGUCCUGGGUUCAAUCCCAGCACCA
rnacentral:tRNA from 1 species